rnacentral:rRNA from 1 species
CGGAGAGACAGGUGGUGCAUGGUUGUCGUCAGCUCGUGUCGUGAGAUGUUGGGUUAAGUCCCGCAACGAGCGCAACCCUUAUCCCCAGUUGCCAGCGAGAGAGUCGGGGACUCUGGGGAGACUGCCCGGGACGACCGGGAGGAAGGCGGGGAUGACGUCAAAUCAUCAUGCCCCUUAUGUCUUGGGCUACACACGUGCUACAAUGGGCGGUACAAACCGAAGCGAAGCCGUGAGGUGGAGCGAACCGGAGAAAGCCGCUCACAGUUCGGAUUGCUCUCUGCAACUCGAGAGCAUGAAGGCGGAAUCGCUAGUAAUCGCGGGUCAGCAUACCGCGGUGAAUACGUUCCCGGGCCUUGUACACACCGCCCGUCACACCACGAAAGUUGGCAACACCCGAAGUCGGCGAGCUAACCGCAAGGAGGCAGCCGCCGAAGGUGGGGUCGAUGAUUGGGGUGAAGUCGUAACAAGGUAGCCGUAUCGGAAGGUGCGGCUGGAUCACCUCCUUUCUAUGGAG